rnacentral:rRNA from 1 species
ACAAGCAGCGGAGCGUGUGGUUUAAUUCGAUGUUACACGAAGAACCUUACCUCGGGAUUGACAUGGAGGUGGUAGGGAAGCGAAAGCGGACCGACUCUUCGGAGAGCCUUCACAGGUGCUGCAUGGCUGUCGUCAGCUCGUGCCGUGAGGUGUCGGGUUAAGUCCCGUAACGAGCGCAACCCUUGCCCUUAGUUACAAGUGUCUAGGGGGACUGCCGGCGGGAAGCCGGAGGAAGGUGGGAUGACGUCAAGUCAGCAUGGCCCUUAUAUCCAGGGCUACACACACGCUACAAUGGUCGGUACAAAGGGCAGCGAAGCCGCGAGGUGGAGCGAAUCCCAGCAAAGCCGACCGUAGUACGGAUAGCAGGCUGCAACUCGCCUGCUUGAAGCUGGAGUUGCUAGUAACCGCGCGUCAGCAUAGUGCGGUGAAUACGUUCCCGGGGCUU